CUCUCGGGUGACGAGCGGCGGACGGGUGAGUAAUGUCUGGGAAACUGCCUGAUGGAGGGGGAUAACUACUGGAAACGGUAGCUAAUACCGCAUAACGUCGCAAGACCAAAGUGGGGGACCUUCGGGCCUCAUGCCAUCAGAUGUGCCCAGAUGGGAUUAGCUAGUAGGUGGGGUAACGGCUCACCUAGGCGACGAUCCCUAGCUGGUCUGAGAGGAUGACCAGCCACACUGGAACUGAGACACGGUCCAGACUCCUACGGGAGGCAGCAGUGGGGAAUAUUGCACAAUGGGCGCAAGCCUGAUGCAGCCAUGCCGCGUGUGUGAAGAAGGCCUUCGGGUUGUAAAGCACUUUCAGCGGGGAGGAAGGCGAUAAGGUUAAUAACCUUGUCGAUUGACGUUACCCGCAGAAGAAGCACCGGCUAACUCCGUGCCAGCAGCCGCGGUAAUACGGAGGGUGCAAGCGUUAAUCGGAAUUACUGGGCGUAAAGCGCACGCAGGCGGUCUGUCAAGUCGGAUGUGAAAUCCCCGGGCUCAACCUGGGAACUGCAUUCGAAACUGGCAGGCUAGAGUCUUGUAGAGGGGGGUAGAAUUCCAGGUGUAGCGGUGAAAUGCGUAGAGAUCUGGAGGAAUACCGGUGGCGAAGGCGGCCCCCUGGACAAAGACUGACGCUCAGGUGCGAAAGCGUGGGGAGCAAACAGGAUUAGAUACCCUGGUAGUCCACGCCGUAAACGAUGUCGAUUUGGAGGUUGUGCCCUUGAGGCGUGGCUUCCGGAGCUAACGCGUUAAAUCGACCGCCUGGGGAGUACGGCCGCAAGGUUAGAACUCAAAUGAAUUGACGGGGGCCCGCACAAGCGGUGGAGCAUGUGGUUUAAUUCGAUGCAACGCGAAGAACCUUACCUGGUCUUGACAUCCACAGAACUUGCCAGAGAUGGCUUGGUGCCUUCGGGAACUGUGAGACAGGUGCUGCAUGGCUGUCGUCAGCUCGUGUUGUGAAAUGUUGGGUUAAGUCCCGCAACGAGCGCACCCUUAUCCUUUGUUGCCAGCGGUUAGGCCGGGAACUCAAGGAGACUGCCAGUGAUAAACUGGAGGAAAGUGGGGAUGACGUCCAGUCAUCUGGCCCUUACAACCAGGGCU
rnacentral:rRNA from 1 species